UUCACUUAUAUUUGAAUUAUCCAUUAAUAUGUAUAACGUAUAAUAUUUGCUUACAAUUUAUAUUAUUUAAAAAUUUAUGAUAUAAAAUAAUUUUAUAUUAAAUGGUUAUAUAACAAAGGAAUAUGCAUUACAUGGGAUGAAUAUGUAAAAAAGAAAAAAAGAGAGGAUUUGUUUUAUGAAAUAAAAAUAAAAUUUAAUAAAAAAUAAUAAUAUAAUUUAUCUAUAUAUAAUAGAAGAGGCAAAAACAUAAUAAGCUGACAAGUGUCAGCAUCAGAAAAUUCCUAUUUAAAAUUAUAAAUUAUAAAAAAAAAAAACAAAAAUUGCAGCAAAUAAAAAAAAAGGGCAGUUUCAAUCAAAAAUAAAACAGAACUACCAUCAGCGGUCGCUAUAUUUAUGGAAGACGCCCAAAAAUUACAUCAAGCGGUUUCUAUCCCCUUCUUUCAGGGACUUUCCUAUGCAAGUAAAAAAGGUCAUGCAAAGAUAACACUAAGUAGUUGGACUUCUGGAUCCAAGUGAUGCUGAUUUCUUUGAAGCUAUGGCAAUGAUGUUCAUGCUGGUGAGAGGUGACAAACAAAUUGGAAAAAAUUGCUGGUGAAGUAUCAAUGUCUUGCAUUUCAACCUUUCAUAGUUAUCAUACUUCACAAGGUAAGGAAAUGUUGUUUGUAUUUAAGUUGAUUACAAAAUAAUUUUUGUUUAUCACUACCUAUAGAUAUUUUAUUUUUGUGGAACGGUGCAGAUGGAAUUCGCUGAAAUACUGCGUUCCUGUUCAGAUUUUUAUUUCAAAUUCCUAUAUUCUAUUAUGCUAAAAUUACACUCGCCCCUUUUUCUAGGAUGACAGGUCAGGAUUACACAAAGUAUUGUUUAAAAUGUAUUGCGUCACAGAACAAUUACUAUGCAAGUUAACUAGCAGAAUUUCAGCCUGAAAAGCUCUUUUAUGUAUUAUACUUCUAUAUGUGGUAUGUUUAAGUUUUCUCAUGUGCUUGCGUUGUUAAUGUAGCAACAAGGUAUAUUAUACAGUCAAAAGAUUUCCUGCUAUAUCACUAUCAAAAAUAUAUGAAUAUUCAAAGAUGAAUUAUUGAGAUGGAACUCAACAAUACUGGCUGAUUUAGUAGUUCGUAUUUACUGACACAUUGAUCUUGAAAAUUAAAUUAGAAUUUCAGUUGUAUUUAAUUGUGUGGACUACUUUAAAAUGCCACAUAUAAGUUUGUGGAACGAGUAAAUCUGGGAUCUCAAAGGCUACGGUUCACUGCUCCAAAUAGGUAACGUCUUAGCCCUUUCUCUAUGUUUUUUUCCUGUUUGAUAGGAGUAAAAAAAUUUGUGGAAACAAAUCAUGUGCCCAGUCUACAUCCUCCUCUAAUAAAGUAUGGAUGAGCAUUUUUGUGAUAGUUGGACAUGAUUCCAAUAAUAAGCCUCUGGUCAAUCUAAAUGGGCAACAUCUUUUCCUGUCUAAUAUGUCAUACUAAUUUUUAGAUUCUGAUUCAUUUAGUAAAAUUCACGUUCUUUGAGGAUUUUAUUUCAAUUUAUAGAUCACGUUUUAGGUGAUAAUCAGUUCUCUAUUUAUGUUUAAGCAUGGUUAGUUACAGGAUGUAUGUUCUCUUUGUUGAAGUCAUGACUUAAAAGUUCUUUAUAAACUUAUAUUCUAGAUACACAUAAUACUCUGAAUUAAUCUUUUUACUUAUCUACUAGCUGCUAGAAGUUUACUCUUGAAAAUAAAUGUACAUAUAUGAUUAGUCCAUUUAUCCUCUUUGGCCUUUAGCAUCAAGUUUGCAACGUAUCCUCCCCUAUUUUAUGUAAUUUUUUAGUAUCUAAUAUGCUUAUAAGAAUUCAGCUUUGUUGGAAUAUUUUGGUUGAGUUUUUUGCAUCAAGUUGACAAUUCAGGAACUGUGAAGUUAUACAGCAAUCGACAAACAACGACUUUGGUUGAGGAAGACAGAAAACAUACAAAUUUACUCGAAGUUUGAUAUUUGAUCCUUGAUCAUUACAUGAAUUCAUUUGUUCGAUGAAGUUUAUAACCAAAGAGACAAGAUAGAGAAAGCAGACAAAUUCACGGAAGUUGGUGUGAGAAGUGAAAUCCAGUUGCAAUUGCUUAGAUUCCCAUUCCAGAGAAAGGAUGGAGUUCGCAGAGAAUGCUUUAUUCGUGAAGCUCAUCAUUUGCUUUUAUUUUCUGCAAUAAAAUCAAGCUAAUUGAACAGAGGAUGUGCUUUUGUUGCAUAUAUUGUAGUGUCCUAAAAAUUAUGACUAUCGUUGUUGUACCAAAUACUGUUUAAGAAGAAAUACCUUUAGGUUGUUUACUUUCAUUAUCCAAUAAAAUGUAGUUUGAUUA